CGUAGGCGGACGGGUGAGUAACGCGUGGGUAACCUGCCUCAUACAGGGGGAUAACGGUUAGAAAUGACUGCUAAUACCGCAUAAGCGCACAGUACCGCAUGGUACGGUGUGAAAAACUCCGGUGGUAUGAGAUGGACCCGCGUCUGAUUAGCUAGUUGGUGGGGUAACGGCCCACCAAGGCGACGAUCAGUAGCCGACCUGAGAGGGUGGCCGGCCACAUUGGGACUGAGACACGGCCCAA
rnacentral:rRNA from 1 species